ensembl:snoRNA
UAGCAAUACUCUAUAGCAUAUGAACAAUACUGUCUGAUGCAAUUUGAGCUCUAUAGCAAGAAAAUCUCACCUAUUCCGGUGUGUUCUCUUCCCCCAUGAGACAACCCGUUAUUAUAGGCUCAAACAAU